CCUUUCCCGGAGUGCUGCGGCCAGGGCUCGCCCGCUCCUCCGGCGGCCUCCGCUGGGGGCCCACUACAGCCCAGCGCCAGCCAGCCAGCCAGCCCAGCUUCUCGAAUCGGUCCUAAGCUGAGGCCGCCCUGCGCUGCAAAACUUGUGUCCACUCUCGGACCCAAUCUGUCCUGGACGGACUUGGCUCGUGGCAGGCGAAAGCGUCGUUUCCAACUGCAGCUGUUUGAAUUCUGGCGCCACACCCGCGCCACGUAGGGCCAAGUCGGCCGCCAGACUCGUGCGAGAGGGCGGGACGGCCUCGUUCUGACUCCGGGAGGCUAUAUAAGGAGCUACUGGCUGCGCACUUCGGUCUUUUACGUCGGCCUUCGCGAGCGUCUGGGCGGGUGGUAGGUGAGUGGGUAUUGCGGGCUAGUAUCCGAGCAAAAGAUGGUGGCGCAGGCCGAGUUAAGAGCUUUAAUCCUGUGAAGACAUCUUAGUGAAGAGUUUAGAGUGCUGAGAGUUGAAAGCUUGCACGUGGGAAACGUGCGGCCGGACUGCCACAUGUACUGAGGUUGAGUCGUGACGGCCACAGGCUCCGAGUUUUGGCGUGAGGAACCGCUGAUCGGCCACGGGCGCCGAACUUGCUGGCCUCCGGCAUGUGCCUGAGCGGCGGCGGAAAAACCACCUUAAUUGGGGCGGAGGGUUAGUUUUAACAGCAAAGGGCCUUUACUAAAAUGGCGAAGGCCUUCCGUCGGCGUUGUUUUAAAAUGGGAAGCCUCGACCCUGUAUUGAAACUGAGCUGUUCGAAGGCGGCGUUGUGUGCAAUUCGGAUUAAUGAAGGGGAAGGGUUUUGUGUGGAAAAACGCCUUGGAGUGUGACAUUUCUGCGAGAAUGCUUAAAUACCGAUUUCCCGCAGGAACAAUGGCGCUGUCUUCAGUGGCACAGUGGAGCAGCUCUGAAGAUGCAAAGAUACACGAAAAAACUUCCAGAACAUCUGGGAGAAUAUUUAAUGGAAAAUCGCUUGGUUAAAACCUGACACUUUUAACAGUGAGGGUCGCUGUCUGCCCAUUGAUAGAGGCCAGAUUGUCUUGGAAGUUCCAAAGUUGCAACGAUUUCUGGCUAGUGCCACGAGGUUUACUUGACUGUUGUGUGAAAAGCUGAUAAGAAAACCAUCCAGAAAAAAGCUCUUCGUUUUACAAACAUGAAAAUAAAACAUUUAGUUGAAUCCAUGGACAUGAAACCCACAGAUAUAGAGGGUUGGCCCGGUGCAGUGGCUCACGCCUGUAAUCCCAGCACUUUGGGAGGCCAAGGCGGGUGGAUCACCUGAGGUCAGAAGCUUGAGACCAGCCUGGCCAACAUGGUAAAACCCCAUCUCUACUAAUAAUACAAAACAAUUUGCUGGGCAUGGUGGUGCACGCUUGUAAUCCAAGCUACUCCAGAGGCUGAGGCAGAAGAAUCGCUUGAAUCCGAGAGGCAAAGGUUGCAGUGAGCCCAGAUCACACCACUGCUCUCCAACCUGGGCAACAAGAGCAAAACUCCGUCAAAAAAAAAAGAUACAGGGUCAACUGUACACAUUAAACACUUCUAUCAACUAGUGAUGUCAGUCUUGUCCAUUGUAUUAUUGCCUAUCUUACUAAACAGUCAUAUUUCAGGAAGUACAAUAUACUCAAAAACUAAGUUAAUGUUCUUUGUAGAUUUAUGGUUAAUGGAUGAUUCAUAUAAUAGAAACUUAAAUUUAUUUGACCAUUCUAUUUAAUAUAGAAUAAAUACAACUAGCCAGGCAUGGUGGCUCAUGUCUAUAAUGCCAGCACUUGGGGAGGCCAAGGUGGGAGGCUCACUUGAGCAUAGGAAUUCAAGGCCAGCCUGGGCAACACAAUGUGAGACCCGUCUCUAUGAAAAUUUUAAAAAUUAGCCAAGCAUGGUAACACAAGUCUGUGGUCCCAGCUACUUGGGAGGCUGAGGCGCGAGAAGUCCAGGAGGUCAACGCUGCAGUGAGCUGUGUGUGUGCCACUGCAUCCUAGCCUGGGCAACAGAGCAAGACCCUGUCUCAAAAAUAAAGAAUAAAUACAACCUAUUAAGCUUGAGAGAUCCAGUGAAAUCCAAAUAAGAGAAACUGUGUCCUACACAGUUUUCUGUUAACCAUUUUCUUGGUAUUUAAAUUAUUUAUCAAAUUUUAACUUCAAUAAAAAAUUAUUCUGGAGAACACAUACCUCUAGAGUAAGUAAAGUAUACACUUUCAAUUUUUAGACAUGAGGUUUUGAGGUGUUUGACUGUAUCUAAUUUCCUAAAGGCUCUAUUUUUUAACCUACAAAAAUUAUAAAAAGAUAUAUAAAAGAUAUGAAAUGUAAAAAUAAGGAAGAUAUGAAGAUUAAAAUAACCUAUAAUCCCACCACUCAGAGGUAACUGUUAUACAAUUUUUGAUGUAUUAUUCUAUGCAGAUAUAAAUUUUAAUAAAAUUUGAAUUAUAUACAGUUUGUCAUCCUGAUUCCUUUCAUUUAAUAUUCUUUUUUAAAAAAUAUUUAUUUAUUUUAGACACAGGAUCUUGCUAUGUAACCCAGGCUGGCCUCGAACUCCAGUGUUCAAGCAAUUCUUGGCUUCAACCUCCCCAAUAAAUCGGACUACAGGCGAGGGCCACCACACCCAGCUCAUUUAAUUUCUAUCAUGACAAUUUUCAACAUUAUUAAAAAUUCUACUCAUUCUUUUCAUUGGCAAUAUUGAGAGCAUUUUUUUUUAUUCUUUUUUUUUUUUUUUUUUGAGACAGAGUCUCACUCUGUUGCCAGGCUGGAGUGCAGUGGCGCGAUCUCGGCUCACUGCAACCUGUACCUCCCGGGUUCAAGCAAUUCUCCUGUCUCAGCUUCCCGAGUAGCUGGGACUACAGGCACGCGCCACUAUGCCCAGCUAAUUUUUGUAUUUUUGGUAGAGACAGGGUUUCACUAUGUUGGCCAGGAUAGUCUCAAUCUUUUGACCUUGAGAUCUGCCUACCUUGGCCUCCCAAAGUGCUGGGAUUACAGGCAUGAGCCACUGUGCCUGGAUUAUUUUUUAAUUUUUUUUUUUUGAGACAGAGUCUCACUUGGUUGCCCAGGCUGCAGUGCGCACUACCACGCCCAGCUAAUUUUUGUAUUUUUAGUAGAAAUGGGGUUUCACCAUGUUGGCCAGACUGGUCUCGAACUCCUGACCUCAAGUGAUCCACCUGCCUUGGCCUCCCAAAGUGCUACAAUUACAGGUGUGAGCCACUGCGCCUGGCUGCAUUUUAUUUUUGUAGAUAUUAAACGGUUAUUUAAUCAAUUUUAGAAAUUUAGGUUGCCUUUAAUUUUAUCCUGAUGACAAAGUUUAUAGCAAUAAAUAGUCCAAAUGUUUAAUGGUACACUGGUUAUCUCUGGACAGUAGAAUAAUCUCUAGCUAGUGGGUUUAUAUUACCAUUAAAAAAUUAAACCUCUCUGGUAAUCUAUCCUCUCAUAUCCAUUUGCAGCCAUUCUAGUCUACACUACCCCCCAACAUGGCCCUCUCUCUCUCAAUCCUUCCAUUGCACAGUCUACAGGGAUAAGAAACUACCCCUAUAUCCUCCACCAUUUUUUUUGGGUGCAUGCAUUUCUUCCACGUCCUUGCCCUAAUUAAAAUCUGAUUCUUCCUUCCUUAG
rnacentral:lncRNA from 1 species